GGCAGGAGAGGGCAAAUGGCUGACCUUUCCCGCCCGAUUGCAGGUUCUUUUCCUGUGACAUGGACACGGGUGCAGAAACAUUUCUCCACUCCGAAACAGACACAGCGCAAGCAUGAUGACCUUCACAACGGCCCGCGUCCUCAGCAGGGAGCAGGACGGAGGCGAGGAGAUUGGCUGUGGGUAAGCGCAAGAAAGGGGCACAAUGAUGCAGGACUUUCCAUACCGGCCGUCGCCCCUCUGAGAGAAAGACAACGCAGGCGAGAAGGAUGCAGAAGUCCAAGAUGUACUGCACUUUUGAAGAAGGAGAUCAAGGAAGGCUUAACGGAGGUACUGGAGAUAAACAAACC
ensembl:lncRNA